CGUCCAGGACGCGUCACUUUCACACCCGCCGGGCCCCAGGCCGCCAGGCGGGUGUGAAAGUGACGUCAGCAGUACCUGAUGGCGACGAGGAUAAUGAAGUGGACUCCUAUGAAGAAAUUCUGUCAGUUCAGUAUUAAAACAACUCACACGUCUGGCAACCCUGAGGCUAGUGCCAGGCAACACUCCCGGUGAAUCAGUGAUCUUCGUCUUGCCCGCUGGCCUGCACAGCGUCCUACGAGAAGCUCUACGGCCGCCACGAUGCGCUGGUGUCUGCCGGCGCUCCUUCUGCUGCCCCUGCUGCUGGCCUGGGAUACCGCUUCAGUCAGCCGCGUGUGUGGGUGUAAGACUGGACACCGCCCUAUCCAACAACCCAACCCUGCUGCCGCUCCUGACCUGCUUUGGGCUACAAGAAAUCCCUGGAUACACCGCCAUCAUAUCCCUCAUCCUACAACGACAACCGCUGGUCCUGACUACUAUGACGACCCCGCUGACUGGGAGCCGUUACUGGUGAUGACCAUGGAGCUCCGUGAUGAGUGUCUUGUACGUGAUGGGGAAGGCAGGCCCCGCAUGGAUGCAAAAUGUCUAGCUAUGAAGAGGAGCCGCUUGAGACGACCGUACUUAUGGUAAAAGACCACACCGCUCCCGAGACGACCAGCCACACCACGUGACCCACGGCAUCACGACCACCACAUCCAGCCACACCCAAGACCACUAACUGCAGCCACACCCAACACCAAUUAAAUACCAGCCUCACCACACCCACGACCACCAAUACCAGCCACACCACACCUUCACGACCACUAAUACCAGCCACACCACACCAUCACGACCACCAAUACCAACCCCACCCCACCCACGACCACCAAUACCAGCCACACCACACCAUCACGACCACCAAUACCAGCCACACCACACCUUCACGACCACCAAUACCAGCCACACCACACCAUCACGACCACCAAUACCAGCCACACCACACCAUCACGACCACUAAUACCAGCCACACCACACCCAAGACCACCACUAAUACCAGCCACAUCACACCUAUAACCAUCACCAAUACCAGCCACACCACACCAUCACGACCACCAAUACCAGCCACACCACACCAUCACGACCACCAAUACCAGCCACACCACACCCACGACCACUAAUACCAGCCACACCACACCCACGACCACUAAUACCAGACACACCACACCUUCACGACCACCAAUACCAGCCACACCACACCCACGACCACUAAUACCAGCCACACCACACCUUCACGACCACUAACACCAGCCACACCACACCCACGACCACCGUAUGUCCUCUGUUGGUUGUGGCAAAGAAAGUGCUUCUUCCAGGGGUUUCAAUGUGCAGUUCUAGCUGUGAGUUCACCUGUUGCCCAGUAGUUCCUUGUUGUCGUCGAAGAGGAUAUGCCACACCAAAGUUCAGCUCUUUAUAUUCACGUUCCGGAGCAGCGCAGGACGAGUCUUGGAGCGGCGCAGCGAACGGAACUUUCUUUGCUUGUAAUUUCAAUGUAGUGUUGCAACUUCAGUGACGAGGUAAAGAACUGAAGGCAGGACUAUACAGUGAAUCCCCUUUAUUAUUUGCAUUGUAAAACUUGUUAGUUGUUUGCUAAUUAAUGAUGUCAUGUACUUUAUGCAUUCAUGUGUAGCCACUAUAAGUAUUGUCCUGUUGACACGCAUGUAUGGUCCAGGUAUAUAACAAAAACAAUAUAGAGAGUUGAUAAUGUUAACUGAUGGAUAAAUAUGAUAAAAAGUAAUAACAACAACAACAACAACAA